rnacentral:rRNA from 1 species
GAUGAACGCUGGCGGCGUGCUUAACACAUGCAAGUCGAACGAUGAUGCCCAGCUUGCUGGGUGGAUUAGUGGCGAACGGGUGAGUAACACGUGAGUAACCUGCCCUUGACUCUGGGAUAAGCCUGGGAAACUGGGUCUAAUACCGGAUACGACCAUCUGGCGCAUGUCAUGGUGGUGGAAAGCUUUUGUGGUUUUGGAUGGACUCGCGGCCUAUCAGCUUGUUGGUGGGGUAAUGGCCUACCAAGGCGACGACGGGUAGCCGGCCUGAGAGGGUGACCGGCCACACUGGGACUGAGACACGGCCCAGACUCCUACGGGAGGCAGCAGUGGGGAAUAUUGCACAAUGGGCGCAAGCCUGAUGCAGCGACGCCGCGUGAGGGAUGACGGCCUUCGGGUUGUAAACCUCUUUCAGUAGGCAAGAAGCGAAAGUGACGGUACCUGCAGAAGAAGCGCCGGCUAACUACGUG